rnacentral:rRNA from 1 species
CCUACGGGGGGCAGCAGUGGGGAAUAUUGGACAAUGGGCGAAGGCCUGAUCCAGCCAUGCCGCGUGUGUGAAGAAGGCCUUCGGGUUGUAAAGCACUUUCAGUGGGGAAGAAAGCCUUGGGGCUAAUACCCUCGAGGAAGGACAUCACCCACAGAAGAAGCACCGGCUAACUCCGUGCCAGCAGCCGCGGUAAUACGGAGGGUGCGAGCGUUAAUCGGAAUUACUGGGCGUAAAGCGCGCGUAGGCGGUCUGAUAAGCCGGUUGUGAAAGCCCCGGGCUCAACCUGGGAACGGCAUCCGGAACUGUCAGGCUAGAGUGCAGGAGAGGAAGGUAGAAUUCCCGGUGUAGCGGUGAAAUGCGUAGAGAUCGGGAGGAAUACCAGUGGCGAAGGCGGCCUUCUGGACUGACACUGACGCUGAGGUGCGAAAGCGUGGGUAGCAAACAGGAUUAGAUACCCCAGUAGUC